AGCAGCCGCGGUAAUUCCAGCUCCAAUAGCGUAUAUUAAAGUUGUUGCAGUUAAAAAGCUCGUAGUUGAAUUUCGGGAUUGGCGCAUCGGUCGUGCCUCACGGGGUAUGAACUGGUGCAGUCAAUUUCUCACCUUCUGGAGAACCGCGAUGUCCUUAAUUGGAUGCCGCGGGGAACCAGGACCUUUACUUUGAAAAAUUAGAGUGUUUAAAGCAGGCAUUUUUGCUUGAAUACAUUAGCAUGGAAUAAUAAAAUAGGACGGCAUGGUUCUAUUUUGUUGGUUUCUAGGACCACCGUAAUGAUUAAUAGGGAUAGUUGGGGGCAUUAGUAUUCAAUUGUCAGAGGUGAAAUUCUUGGAUUUAUUGAAGACUAACUACUGCGAAAGCAUUUGCCAAGGAUGUUUUCAUUAAUCAAGAACGAAAGUUAGGGGAUCGAAGACGAUCAGAUACCGUCGUAGUCUUAACCAUAAACUAUGCCGACUAGGAAUCAGACGAUGUUAAUUUUUAAUGACUCGUUUGCAC
rnacentral:misc_RNA from 1 species